UACGAAGGGGGCUAGCGUUGCUCGGAAUGACUGGGCGUAAAGAGCGCGUAGGCGGUUGACACAGUCAGAUGUGAAAUUCCCGGGCUUAACCUGGGGGCUGCAUUUGAUACGUGUUGUCUAGAGUGAGGAAGAGGGUUGUGGAAUUCCCAGUGUAGAGGUGAAAUUCGUAGAUAUUGGGAAGAACACCGGUGGCGAAGGCGGCAACCUGGUCCUUGACUGACGCUGAGGCGCGAAAGCGUGGGGAGCAAACAGG
rnacentral:rRNA from 1 species